UUGCUCUUUGAACUUGUUUGUGUUUUCGAGGGUGUCUGAGAGUACGGGAAAAUUGAGGGUGUUAGCCGGAAAAACGUGUGGGUUGGUUCGCUGGGAAGUUUUCUUGUUCGGCAAGUUCUCGAAAUUGAUUAUGUUGCUGUCUUGGAGGAAGAGUUGAGUGAAAGUUAGUGUCGACGUCGGAAUCGCUGCGUCGAAGAAGGCAAACCGUUGAAAGCGAAGGAGGAGGACGCCACAUACGGUCGUCGGAAACGGAAGGGAUUGUGUCGUCGGUAGCGGCGGCACAUCAGAUUAGGGUUUUCAUGAGGGUUCGGGUGAAGAAGAUGCAGAGUCGGGUCAGGUUUCGACCUCUGAAACGGCCCACGGACGAAUGCGGGUCUUGUGCGUUUCGGCCCAACACGGAUCUCGGCUUGGCUCCGUCAAAUCUCGCGGCUCGACUUGGUGGCUUAGUUAGUUAGCUUGGCAGCUCGGCUUGGCAGCUCGGUAUCGCUAUAAUAUAUCGAUUCUAAGGUUUUUGGCCCUUCCGAAGCUGUUUCUGCCCUUAGUUUUACUAUCUGAGGACGUAUUUAACCGUUGGGAUUAGCUUGUUGUGAGUGACUCCAACCAAGACCAUCAAGUAAAGGCAAGGCGCCAAUGUACAGUUGACGGCGGAGCUGAGGACACCAUGGAAGUUGGAGAGGGAAUAUUUUUAGGAGUUUACG